rnacentral:rRNA from 1 species
UACGGAGGGUGCAAGCGUUAAUCGGAAUUACUGGGCGUAAAGCGCACGCAGGUGGCUGAGUCAGUCGAUUGUGAAAGCCCUGGGCUUAACCUGGGAAUUGCAGUCGAUACUACUCAGCUAGAGUAUGGGAGAGGGUAGUGGAAUUCCCGGUGUAGCGGUGAAAUGUGUAGAGAUCGGGAGGAACACCGGUGGCGAAGGCGGGUCUCUGGGCAAUUCCUGACGCUGAGGCGCGAAAGCGUGGGGAGCAAACGGG